rfam:TPA: Bos taurus chromosome 4, whole genome shotgun sequence.
UCCCUGGUGGUCUAGUGGUUAAGACUCUGCCCUACCACUGCAGGGGACAUAGGUUCAAUCCCUGGUCAGGGAA